UGGUGAUCAGGACUGAACACAGGCGGCUCACCAUGGAGUUUAGAACGGGCUGGCUUUUCCUUCUUGGUGUUUUAAAAGGUGUCCAGGCUGAGGUGCAGCUGGUGGAGUCCGGGAGAGGCUUGGUGCAGCCUGGGGGGUCCCUGAGACUUUCCUGCACAGUCUCUGGAUUUAGUGGCUUCAGCUACAUCUACAUGAGCUGGAUCCGCCAGCCUCCAGGGAAGGGGCUGGAGUGGAUCUCAGGCAUCAGUGGUGAUAGUAGUGCUAUAAACUACGCAGACUCCGUGAAGGGCCGAUUCACCAUCUCCAGAGACAACAGCAGGAACACACUGUAUCUGCAAAUGAGCAACGUGCGAAGCGAGGACACGGCCGUGUAUUACUGUGCUAAGGCACAGUGA